AACGAACGCUGGCGGCAUGCCUAACACAUGCAAGUCGAACGAGACCUUCGGGUCUAGUGGCGCACGGGUGCGUAACGCGUGGGAACCUGCCCUUAGGUUCGGAAUAACUCCCCGAAAGGGGUGCUAAUACCGGAUAAUGUCUUCGGACCAAAGAUUUAUCGCCUUUGGAUGGGCCCGCGUUGGAUUAGCUAGUUGGUAGGGUAAAAGCCUACCAAGGCGACGAUCCAUAGCUGGUCUGAGAGGAUGAUCAGCCACACUGGGACUGAGACACGGCCCAGACGACGCCGGAGGGCAGGAGGGGGGAAAAUUGGAAAAGGGGCGAAGGCCGGAAACAGCAAUGCCGGGGGAUGAAAGAGGGACUAAGGGUUGAAAAGCCCUUUUACCCGGGCGGAAAAGGACCGUACGGGGAGAAAAAGCGCCGGCUAAUCCCGU
rnacentral:rRNA from 1 species